rnacentral:tmRNA from 1 species
GGGGGCGAAAUGGCUUCGACGGAGAUUUUGAGGUCUAAGGUAGCAUACCGAGUCUUUUGUCAGCUCGUAAACUUGGCAGAGCAUAAACAUAAUCGCAGAUGAUUAUAAUUACGCUGUAGCAGCUUAGAGGCUGCUUCCGUCCUCCUGAAAUCCUUCUUGCAGAUUCAGGUCAGGACGUCAUUUAUGCAAGACCGCUUUUAAGACUGCCUGAUUCUUAAAAGUUAAAUUUUUCAGGCUAUACCGGUACGUAUCCAUCUUGAAGGAGACUGACCGGCCAAUUUUAAAUUUCAGGAUAAGUAUGUAGAAGCCUAGGUUGAUUGUUUUCGGACGCGGGUUCAACUCCCGCCGCCUCCACCA